GCAGUCGAGGGGUAGGGUUACUUCGGUAAUCUGAGACCUCCGCACGGGUGCGUAACGCGUAUGCAAUCUACCUUUUACUAUGGGAUAGCCCAGAGAAAUUUGGAUUAAUACCAUAUAAUAUAUUUGAAUGGCAUCGUUUGAAUAUUAAAGAUUUAUCGGUAAAAGAUGAGCAUGCGUCCCAUUAGUUAGUUGGUGUGGCAACGGCAUACCAAGACGAUGAUGGGUAGGGGUCCUGAGAGGGAGAUCCCCCACACUGGUACUGAGACACGGACCAGACUCCUACGGGAGGCAGCAGUGAGGAAUAUUGGUCAAUGGAGGCAACUCUGAACCAGCCAUGCCGCGUGCAGGAUGACGGUCCUAUGGAUUGUAAACUGCUUUUGUACGGGAAAGAAAACAAACUACGAGUAGUUAAUUGACGGUACCGUAAGAAUAAGGAUCGGCUAACUCCGUGCCAGCAGCCGCGGUAAUACGGAGGAUCCAAGCGUUAUCCGGAAUCAUUGGGUUUAAGGGUCCGUAGGCGGCCUUAUAGUCAGUCCGGAAAGUUUUUGGCUUAACCAAAAAAUUGCCAUUGAUACUGUUUCCCUUGAAUAUCUGUGAAGUAACUAGAAUAUGUAGUGUAGCGGUGAAAUGCUUAGAUAUUACAUGGAAUACCGAUUGCGAAGGCAGGUUACUANCAGAUGAUUGACGCUGAUGGACGAAAGCGUGGGUAGCGAACAGGAUUAGAUACCCUGGUAGUCCACGCCGUAAACGAUGGAUACUAGCUGUUUGGUUUUCGGACUGAGUGGCUAAGCGAAAGUGAUAAGUAUCCCACCUGGGGAGUACGGUCGCAAGACUGAAACUCAAAGGAAUUGACGGGGGCCCGCACAAGCGGUGGAGCAUGUGGUUUAAUUCGAUGAUACGCGAGGAACCUUACCAGGGCUUAAAUGUAGAUUGACAGAUUUGGAAACAGAUUUUUCUUCGGACAAUUUACAAGGUGCUGCAUGGUUGUCGUCAGCUCGUGCCGUGGGGUGUCAGGUUAAGUCCUAUANCGAGCGCAACCCCUGUUGUUAGUUGCCAGCACGUAAUGGUGGGAACUCUAGCAAGACUGCCAGUGUAAACUGUGAGGAA
rnacentral:rRNA from 1 species